UACGUAGGGUGCAAGCGUUGUCCGGAAUUAUUGGGCGUAAAGAGCUCGUAGGCGGUUUGUUGCGUCGGCUGUGAAAACCUGAGGCUCAACCUCAGGCCUGCAGUCGAUACGAGCAGACUAGAGUGUUGCAGGGGAGACUGGAAUUCCUGGUGUAGCGGUGAAAUGCGCAGAUAUCAGGAGGAACACCGGUGGCGAAGGCGGGGUCUCUGGGCAACAACUGACGCUGAGGAGCGAAAGUGUGGGGAGCGAACAGG
rnacentral:rRNA from 1 species